UACGGGGGGAGCAAGCGUUGUUCGGAUUUACUGGGCGUAAAGGGCGCGUAGGCGGCCUGAUAAGUCGGGGGUGAAAUCCUGUGGCUUAACCACAGGGCUGCCUCCGAGACUGUCGGGCUCGAGCACAGUAGAGGCAGGUGGAAUUCCCGGUGUAGCGGUGGAAUGCGUAGAGAUCGGGAAGAACAUCGGUGGCGAAGGCGGCCUGCUGGGCUGUUGCUGACGCUGAGGCGCGACAGCGUGGGGAGCAAACAGG
rnacentral:rRNA from 1 species